rnacentral:pre_miRNA from 1 species
CUACUACUCCCUCCGUCUGAAAAUACUUGUCAUUGAAAUGGAUGUAUCUAGAUGUAUUUUAGUUCUAGACACAUCCAUUUUGAUGACAAGUAAUUCCGGACGGAGGGAGUAUUAU